AGCCCAGAUAUGACUCGUCCAUUCUUUAUUCUAUUGGGUCAGUGACCCGACCCACGGUUGUAAAUAUAAAUACAGGGGUCACCGACUUAUGUGACCCCCGGACUUCACUUUCUUAUUUUGUUCCUUGGUUAAUGUGAUUUUUCUCUCUGACUUUCCAGAGUCUUCUCACCUACUCUCUUCCUUCUCUCUACUUUCUCUCUCUACAAUUUGUAUGAUUCUCUCGUAUAAUCUUCGUGUUAACAUGGUAUCAGAGCUUCGUAGACGAUCCGAUCAUGUUUCUAAGUGUUCGUGUUCAUGGAUGAAGUCUGUAUCGAGGUUUUUUUGGGUGAUUUCUGAGACCGUUUCGUCAAUGAUGAUUUUGUCCAUUGGAAACUUCUCUGAGUGUAUCUGAGUGUCUUUUUCUCUAUUAUACACUUCGGAAAAGCUUUGUGAUGAUUUUGGACGGUUGAUUUUGAUAACUUUUUGGCUUCUAGGGUUUUGACGGUUUGACCUACGGUUUUACCGCAUUCCGGUGCUUGAUUGUUACUCUCUGGACGGUUUGGGUGUUUUUCCGACCUCCUUCACCGACUCUCUGGUAAAGUUUUUGAUUUCCAAAAAUUUUGAAACCUAGGGUUUCUCCGUGUUUGAAGGCCGAUCUUCUCCGGUUGCGAAGAAAGAGGGUAACUCUGUGUCCUUCUUCUCGAUUUAUGUGUGCUUAUCUGACUUUGUAAUAGUGAAUAUCUGGUGGUGGUAUCUUUGAUUACUUGCCCUGAUUGUUGCCCAUCUGUUGGUUAUUGUUGGUUGUUGUGUUUGUAAAUUUGUUCUGCUGUUUGUUGAAAAGCUACUUGUCUAAGCCGAUUUAUUAUGGCUUCUAGCACAAGUACUGGUGCUUCUAACACUGUGGAUUCCUCUAGUCCACUUUUUCUGUAUUCAUCCGAUCUCCCUGGGGUACCUCUUGUCCCCAUCCCAUUUUCGGGUACUGGUUAUGGAGGUUGGAGACGAAAAAUUCUUGUUGCCUUGUCGGCUAAAAAUAAAAUCAGCUUUGUUGAUGGCACCUAUGCCCGUCCUACUACCAAUGUUCCUCAACAGAGGUUAUGGGA
rnacentral:lncRNA from 1 species